CGGGGAUGAGACCCCACCUCUGAGCGUUCCAUAACAAUCCAAGAGCGGCAAAGCAGGAGAGCGACCCAUGCCAGGUCUCCGGGCCAGAGAAACCAAGAAAGGACCUCAGCAGCCAGUCCCAGGUGAGAGGACUAACUCCUUCCUCCACCUUGCAGUGACAGGCUUUGUGGAAAAACUGGAGACAUCUCCCUUCUGGGAAGAAGCCAGAUCCAGGGUCAUCACACCCAGCUGCACAGGUCGUGCACUGCACAACUCUCAGGGUACCUGCCACAGAGACUAUGAUGCAAAGGAUGUUCCCUGGUUUUGUAUCCAGAAGCUGAAAGGUCCAGCUAAAAGGCUCAGCCACAGAACAGCCCCCACCUGCCUCCUCCCUUGGGCUGGAAAGGAGUGCUUCAGAUCCACCUGGUUACUCCAAGUGGUCUCUGCUGGGGCAGGGAUGUGCCUGAGCCGGCAAGGAGCUUAGUGCAGAAGGGCCCUCCGCAAACCUUCCCACGGCCC
rnacentral:lncRNA from 1 species